UGCUUGUUUAUAUUGGCUACGUAACCAAACGGUCUGACGUCACCACUACACGCCAAAUCUUUUCCCCAGUGGCUGCAUGUUCUGAACAUGGCAAACCAGUUACCAACACCUGCGCCAAACUUUGGGCAACGGGUAAUUCAUAUGUUUACCUAGGUAGAUACAUAGUUUAUCAUUAAAUGUAUUAGAUAGACGCGCUUCUAAUAUCCUUGCAUUAUUGACCCGUGACUGACAAUUUUGAAGUACGUUAACUUAGUUGGCUGGCUUUGGAGUCAGACUAGCUAGCCAAAUGGAAAUGGAAUGAAUCGCAAAACUGCAUGCCUGUAACCUUACAGCCAGCCACCGUCAGCCAUAGUGAAAGGUGAUGAGGAGGCACAUUAUGGAGAGGCUCCUGUACAGAUUGCAGCAGGCCAUGCAACGCCUUCCACUGGAUCUUGGAUACUUACAGUUUGUCUGCACCAGUGAGAUUAUUAAGUAGACUUGCAUGGUCUCUCCAAACUGUGUAGCCUAGUCAAUGCUGAAAUGGAAGAAAGAUGUGCCCCAUCAAUUGUUGUUGAUGACGAAAUGGGACGUCCUAAACUGAUUGUCAGAACAGCACCGUCGACAGCUGAUUGAAAUGGAUCUGCCUGUACCUUGCAUUGCCAAACUGCUCGGCAUCUCAACACAAACUUUCCAACGCAGAAGGCAGGAAUACGGUGUCAUGACGUGGCCCUUUCUGGGUAUAGAGCGUGGCAUCCCUCUCUCUCUCUCUCUCCUACACCCAGGUUCUGUUAUCCCAGGUUGUAAAUUCCUGGAGGAGACUCUCUCCUCCUGGCCUUGCAGAAAGAGACACAUAGAGCGAACAAAGGAACUUCUUCUACAUCACAGAACUUGAGAACUGAACAAUAUCCAUGUUUUGGAGAAUGUGUAAACGGUCAGUUGAGAAGCCACCUACUGCAUUUUUGUCUUUCCCGCCCUUCUCAGUCCACACCCACUUCCCUUUGUCCACCAAGCCUUCAUAUCGGCUUAGCCCACAAGGGAACCUCCCCUAUCAUUUCCUUGUAACCAUAUCUACUGUUUGUUUGUUUAUGCAUUUCUGUGAUUAUUUAGUUAGUUAGUAAAUAAAUGAUUAAGACAAUUGAUGUAUGGAUGAUUUAUAGUAAAGGCUGGGUUCGUGCAGAUAACCAACAAUUUACUCCGUUUGGAAUGAGACUAACGUGAGGUAAAGAAUAA
rnacentral:lncRNA from 1 species